rnacentral:rRNA from 1 species
UGCCAGCCGCCGCGGUAAUACGGAGGGUGCAAGCGUUAAUCGGAAUUACUGGGCGUAGAGCGUGCGUAGGUGGACAGGCAAGUCAGAGGUGAAAUCCCGAAGCUCAACUUCGGAAUUGCCUUUGAAACUGCUUGUCUAGAGUCUCGGAGAGGAUAGUGGAAUUCCUAGUGUAGGGGUGAAAUCCGUAGAUACUAGGAGGAACACCAGUGGCGAAGGCGGCUAUCUGGACGAGUACUGACGUUGAGGUGCGAAAGCGUGGGGAGCAAACAGGAUUAGAUA